rnacentral:rRNA from 1 species
UGAGACACGGUCCAGACUCCUACGGGAGGCAGCAGUGGGGAAUAUUGGACAAUGGGGGCAACCCUGAUCCAGCCAUGCCGCGUGUGUGAAGAAGGCCUUCGGGUUGUAAAGCACUUUUGUCCGGAAAGAAAAGCGCUGGGUUAAUACCCCGGUGUUAUGACGGUACCGGAAGAAUAAGCACCGGCUAACUUCGUGCCAGCAGCCGCGGUAAUACGAAGGGUGCAAGCGUUACUCGGAAUUACUGGGCGUAAAGCGUGCGUAGGUGGUGCGUUAAGUCUGUCGUGAAAGCCCCGGGCUCAACCUGGGAAUGGCGAUGGAUACUGGCGCGCUAGAGUGCGGUAGAGGAGAGUGGAAUUCCCGGUGUAGCAGUGAAAUGCGUANAGAUCGGGAGGAACAUCAGUUGCGAAGGCGGCUCUCUGGACCAGCACUGACACUGANGCACGAAAGCGUGGGGAGCAAACAGGAUUAGAUACCCUGGUAGUCCACGCCCUAAAC